rnacentral:rRNA from 1 species
CAGCUAGCUUAUUCACCAAUAUAACCAAAUAAUACAAAUAAAAUAGAAUAAACCAAACACCAAAAACUAAACCAUUCUUUUACCUGAGUAUGGGAGACAGAAAAGGUUCAACCAAAGCAAUAGAAACAGUACCGCAAGGGAAAGCUGAAAGAGAAAUGAAAUAACCCAUAUAAGUACUAAAAAGCAAAGACUAAACCUUGUACCUUUUGCAUCAUGAUUUAGCCAGUAAACACAAGCAAAGAGACCUUUAGUUUGAAACCCCGAAACCAGGUGAGCUACCCCGAGACAGCCUAUUAAGGGCCAACCCGUCUCUGUGGCAAAAGAGUGGGAAGAGCUCCGGGUAGAAGUGACAGACCUACCGAACCUGGUGAUAGCUGGUUGCCUAAGAAAUGGAUAGAAGUUCAGCCUCGUGCACCUCAAAUCAAACAAGCACUAACCAAGAUUUUAAGAGAAAAACACGAGAGUUAGUUAAAGGGGGUACAGCCCCUUUAACAAAGGAUACAACCUUAUCCAGGAGGAUAAAGAUCAUAAUAUAUAAAAUAUGCUGUUCUAGUGGGCCUAAAAGCAGCCACCUAAGCAGAAAGCGUUAAAGCUCAGACAGAAAAAAAUUUAUUAUUCUGAUAAAAAAUCUUACUCCCCUAAAUACUAUUAGGCUAAUCCAUGCACCCAUGGAAGAAAUUAUGCUAAAAUGAGUAACAAGAAGGCCCGACCUUCUCCAAGCACAAGUGUAAGCCAAACCGGACUAACCAUUGGCAACUAACGAACUCAACCCAAGAGAGCAAUGUGAACAAUAAAAAAAAACAAGAAAAAUCCACAACCAAAAAUCGUUAACCCCACACUGGAGUGCUACUAAAGGAAAGACUAAAAGAAAGGGAAGGAACUCGGCAAACACAAGCCUCGCCUGUUUACCAAAAACAUCGCCUCCUGCAACGCAACCAUGUAUAGGAGGUCCAGCCUGCCCAGUGACUACAAGUUCAACGGCCGCGGUAUUUUGACCGUGCAAAGGUAGCGCAAUCACUUGUCUUUUAAAUAGAGACCUGUAUGAAUGGCUAAACGAGGGCUUAACUGUCUCCCCCUUCAAGUCAGUGAAAUUGAUCUGCCCGUGCAGAAGCG